ensembl:misc_RNA Y_RNA Y RNA
GGCUGGUCUGAGUGCAAUGAUGUUUAAAACUAAUUGAUCCCAAUCAGUUACAGAUUCUUUUGUUCCUUCUCCACUCCCACUGCUUCACUUGAAUAGCCUAAA